rnacentral:rRNA from 1 species
AGCCACACUGGAACUGAGACACGGUCCAGACUCCUACGGGAGGCAGCAGUGGGGAAUAUUGCACAAUGGGCGCAAGCCUGAUGCAGCCAUGCCGCGUGUGUGAAGAAGGCCUUCGGGUUGUAAAGCACUUUCAGCGAGGAGGAAGGGUGGUGAGCUUAAUAUCCAUAAUUGACGUUACUCGCAAAAUAAGCACCGGCUAACUCCGUGCCAGCAGCCGCGGUAAUACGUAGGGUGCAAGCGUUUAUCGGAAUUACAUGGCGUAAAGCGCGCUCAUGGGGUUUGUUAA